GACGAACGCUGGCGGCGUGCUUAACACAUGCAAGUCGAACGGAAAGGCCCUGCUUUUGUGGGGUGCUCGAGUGGCGAACGGGUGAGUAACACGUGAGUAACCUGCCCUUGACUUUGGGAUAACUUCAGGAAACUGGGGCUAAUACCGGAUAGGAGCUCCUGCUGCAUGGUGGGGGUUGGAAAGUUUCGGCGGUUGGGGAUGGACUCGCGGCUUAUCAGCUUGUUGGUGGGGUAGUGGCUUGCCAAGGCUUUGACGGGUAGCCGGCCUGAGAGGGUGACCGGCCACAUUGGGACUGAGAUACGGCCCAGACUCCUACGGGAGGCAGCAGUGGGGAAUAUUGCACAAUGGGCGGAAGCCAGAUGCAGCAACGCCGCGUGCGGGAUGACGGCCUUCGGGUUGUAAACCGCUUUCGCCUGUGACGAAGCGUGAGUGACGGUAAUGGGUAAAGAAGCACCGGCUAACUACGUG
rnacentral:rRNA from 1 species